ACGUCAAGUCCUCAUGGCCCUUAUGGGUAGGGCUUCACACGUCAUACAAUGGUCGGAACAGAGGGUCGCCAACCCGGGAGGGGGAGCCAAUCCCAGAAAACCGAUCGUAGUCCGGAUCGCACUCUGCAACUCGAGUGCGUGAAGCUGGAAUCGCUAGUAAUCGCGGAUCAGCAUGCCACGGUGAAUACGUUCCCGGGUCUUGUACACACCGCCCGUCACACCAUGGGGGUGGGUUUUACCAGAAGUGGCUAGUCUAACCGCAAGGAGGACGGUCACCACGGUAGGAAAACAUGACUGGGGUGAAGUCGUAACAAGGUAACCGUA
rnacentral:rRNA from 1 species